AUUGAACGCUGGCGGCAGGCCUAACACAUGCAAGUCGAACGAGUGGCGGACGGGUGAGUAAUGUCUGGGAAACUGCAUGAUGGAGGGGGAUAACUACUGGAAACGGUAGCUAAUACCGCAUACCAUCAGAUGUGCCCAGAUGGGAUUUGCUUGUUGGUGGGGUAACGGCUCACCAAGGCGACGAUCCCUAGCUGGUCUGAGAGGAUGACCAGCCACAUUGGACCGGAGAAACGGUCCAUACUCCUACGGGAGGCUGCAUUGGGGAAUAGUUCUCAAUGGGCGCAAGCCUGAUGCAGCCAUGCCGCGUGUAUGAAGAAGGCCUUCGGGUUGUAAAGUACUUUCAGCGGGGAGGCGUUACCCGCAGAAGAAGCACGGGAUAACUCCGUGCCAGCAGCCGCGGUAAUAC
rnacentral:rRNA from 1 species